GGGUUGCCAUUUUUUUAAAAAAAAAUUUAAUUUUUGUACGGAAUAUUGAAAAGAAUAGAGGGUAUGGAAGAAUAAUUUUUUAAUUUAAAUUUAAAUGAGAGACUGAUCAAUGGCCAAGGUGAGAAACGACGUAUCUCCGUAGAGGUGUUUCAAAAUUUCCGUUUUUGCUCUAUUUUUUGGGAAGGGAAACAAGCCACUUUUUUUUCUUGAUACAUAGACAAAAGUAAGAGAGAGGAGCGUCUCAAAAAGCGGCGUUUCCUAAUUUUCAGAGAAAAGAGGAGUAAAAAGUACAGGAAUUUGGCAACGUCGCAAAUUGGAGAAACGAGGUUUGGCAAUAUCGCAUCAAGAUGGUACUCCUUCGUUUUUCUUGGCGCGUGUUGCAUACCCAGCCCCUGAAAAUAUGUUCAAUAAUUGCCCUCUUUUGGCGGCUGCUUGAAAUUUCAUUGUGGAUACAAUGUCAUUUUAGUGUGGAUACAAUGAGGAAAACAAAGAAAAUAAAGGAGCAAUAGACCCUCAAACUAUAACAUUCCACAUACAUGCGUGGAAAUUCUGCGCAAUACAGGACGACAUCUAUCAUGAAAGUUGAAACUCACACAUGAUCCAUAAAUUUAAUGCUAGUUAAGCUGUUUUAUUCAUUAAUCCACUAACUUCAAGGUUGGUAGAGUCGAUUAAAGUAGAUAAAAAUGAUGGGAGAUGGCUGAGAAAUUUUUUAUUACUGGAUCAGUUUCACGGAGGUCUUGAAAAUUUACGCAUUUUGUUGAAUUGAGAUUUGAUAUCACACCUUUUCGGUCUGUGGCGAGAUAUGUGAGUUGGUUUAAAGCUUAAUCCAUGUAAUUUAAGGUAUGUGAAGUCAGAGGGAGGUAAUAAAAAUAUUGGGAGAUGGCUGAGAAAUUUUUUAUUACUGGAUCAGUUUCACGGACGUCUUGAGAUUUUACGCAUUUUGUUGAAUCGAGAUUUAAUAUCACACCUUUUCUGUCUAUGAAAGGAAUUUUGAGUUGUUUUAAAGUUUAAUCUGUGUAAUUUAGGUUUGUUGGAGUCACAGGAAGCCAUUACGAACGAAGUCAGACGGCUGAGGAAUUCUGUAUCAUCGGAUCAGUUUAACGAGCGCCUUGAGAUUUUGCCCAUUUUGGUCAAUCACGAUUUAACAGCACACCUCUUCGGUUUGUGGAGAGAUAUUGUACCUUGAACGAGCGGUUUUUUUGGAUCGCCACAGAGCUUUCUGUUCUCCACUUGUGGUUUGGGAGGUUCACGUCCCUUCAAUUUGUGACUGUUAAACAAGUUAUUUGUCUCUCUUUCAUCGAUUUCAUUUGGAACGCAAUUUCAAGUCGUGUACCUUGAACGAGCGGUUUUUUUGGAUCACCACAGAGCUUUCUGUUCUCCACUUGUGGAUGGGAGGUUCACGUCCCUUCAAUAUGUGACUGUUAAACAAGUUAUUUGUCUCUCUUUCAUCGAUUUCAUUUGGAACGCAAUUUCAAGUCGGUGAGUUCUUAAACUUCUUGAAACCAAUUCUACGUAUGCAUGUGUUAGAAAGGGCCCUGAUCCGGAGAGAGUUGGCAUGAAUCAAUUGCCAUUAGCACUGAGAACCGGAGUUCUUUGCAACUUUCACAGACUACUUGGGCUUCCUAUCGAAUGCAUCAAGUUUGUUUACAUAGACGAUCGAUAACCUUUACUACGCUUCGAACAUUCACCAAGAGUCAGGAUAAGACAGUGUGAAAGAACAUUGAACCAGCAGAUUUUGAACAGAAUUGUUCAAGAGAGGAUCGAUUCUGUCAAAUAUCAACGCAUCGUUCGUACAGAACCAGCGAUAUGCUCUAUCAGUAAAUCUUCCCAAUUACCGGCGCUUCUCCGUAAAUGUAUAAACAUGGGCAGGUGGAAUGAUGCGUUGUCCUUUCCCAAUUCCCUUCUGUUCAGCGCCCUUUCUUCGUCAGCUCAUUCCAUGCACUUUAGCAAUGAUUUGGAGCUCUUCAACGGAACAAGGUUGAAAUCGCUCCAGGUAGAAACAUUAUUGGUCGAUAACUAAGUGUGCAUGCUAAAAGACUGUUUUCCUCCGUGGA